rnacentral:rRNA from 1 species
UUGCAGUACUGCGAGUGUAGAGGAGAGCCCAGCACCGAAGCCUCUGUCGUUCUUCGGCAGUUGUGCAAUGUGGUGUAAGGGAAGGUACGUUCCAGCAAGGUGCCAGGUGUCUAAGUCCCCCUGACUGGGGCCAUGACCCUCGGAGGGUGCAAGGCCCGUGUGGCCCGGCGUUUCUCUGUUCCUUGCUGGUCCUGCCUUUCCCAGGAGUCGGGUUGCUUGAGAGUGCAGCCCUAAGUGGGUGGUAAACUCCAUCUAAGGCUAAAUACUUGACACGAGACCGAUAGCAAACAAGUACCGUGAGGGAAAGUUGCAAAGAACUUUGAAGAGAGAGUUCAAGAGUGCGUGAAACCGUUCGGAGGUAAACGGGUGGGACCUCGAAGGUCGAACGGAUGGGGCUGGAUUCAACCUGCCGACCGGAUGCCGAGGACGAGAGAUCGGUCUGCCCUUCGGAAACUCUGUUUUCGUUUUGGGCGGCGUUGUCUCGCCUCGUCAGCGUCCUGGUUCAUUCACGGCGGGUGCACUUCCAGUUCUCCCCUUCCUAGUAGGACGCUGCGACCGGUUGGGAAAGUUUAACGCGGGAGACCAGACGCCUGUUGCCUGGUAGCUGCACGGUUGUUAGUCGGUUUUCCCUUCGGGGUUGGCCGCUGCCGCUUGUCUGGCCAGGCCACCGAGCUGAGUCUCUCGUUCCGACCGAGGAAAUUGUUUUUUGGCUUCCUGCCAGUUGCCAUAUGAACGCACCCGCUUGCCAUUGAUUCGGUGAGCUCGGGCGGACUGAGUCCACCGGGUGGCGCUCGGCAGACUUGCGUAGAACCCCUUUCGCGGGUUCCGCUUGCUUGACGACGCGUCUACCGACAGUGAAGGGCGCAGGCUCCCGAUUUCAGGGUUGCCGGAGGUUCAGCAGCGAGUAGGUUGGUAACCCACCCGACCCGUCUUGAAACACGGACCAAGGAGUCUAACAUGCUUGCUAGUCUUUGGGGGGUCUGACCAACCCCAUGAAGGCACAAUGAAAGUGAAGGGUCGGCCUUGCGUCACCCAAGGCAGGAUCCUUCCAUCGGCGAAAGCCGUUUGGAAAAAAUUGGAGCACUGCUGGCCCGCCCCACGGUCGCAUUUGCGGUCGGGCGAGCCAGAGGCAA